CCUACGGGUGGCAGCAGUGAGGGAUAUUGGACAAUGGGCGCGAGCCUGAUGCAGCGAAGCAGCGUGUGGGAAGACGGUCCUAGGAUUGUAAACCACUUGCUUUGGGGGCGAUAAUUGCGGUACCCAAGGAGGACGCUCCGGCUCACUACGUUCCAGCAGCCGCAGUAAUACGUAGGGAGCGAGCGUUGUCCGGAAUUACUGGGUGUAAAGGGAGCGUAGGCGGGAUAUCAAGUUGAAUGUGAAAUCUACCGGCUCAACCGGUAGGCUGCGUUCAAAACUGAUAUUCUUGAGUGCAGUAGAGGUUGGCGGAAUUCCUAGUGUAGCGGUGAAAUGCGUAGAUAUUAGGAGGAACACCAGUGGCGAAGGCGGCAAACUGGGCUUUUACUGACGCUGAGGCUCGAAAGCGUGGGGAGCAAACAGGAUUAGAUACCCUUGUAGUC
rnacentral:rRNA from 1 species